AGAGUUUGAUCAUGGCUCAGAUUGAACGCUGGCGGCAUGCCUUACACAUGCAAGUCGAACGGUAACGCGGGGCAACCUGGCGACGAGUGGCGAACGGGUGAGUAAUGCAUCGGAACGUGCCCAGUAGUGGGGGAUAGCCCGGCGAAAGCCGGAUUAAUACCGCAUACGACCUGAGGGUGAAAGGGGGGGAUCGCAAGACCUCUCGCUAUUGGAGCGGCCGAUGUCAGAUUAGGUAGUUGGUGGGGUAAAGGCCUACCAAGCCGACGAUCUGUAGC
rnacentral:rRNA from 1 species